UGGGGAAUAUUGGACAAUGGGUGAGAGCCUGAUCCAGCCAUGCCGCGUGCAGGAUGAAGGCCUUCGGGUCGUAAACUGCUUUUUAUGAGUGAAGAUUAUGACAGUAACUCAAGAAUAAGGGACGGCUAACUACGUGCCAGCAGCCGCGGUCAUACGUAGGUCCCAAGCAUUAUCCGGAAUUACUGGGCGUAAAGAGUUGCGUAGGUGGUUCUUUAAGCAGACUAUUAAAUCGUACGGCUCAACCGUAUACAAAUAGUCUGAACUAUUGAACUAGAGGGCGAGAGAGGUUAUUGGAAUUUCUUGUGUAGGAGUGAAAUCCGUAGAUAUAAGAAGGAACACCGAUGGCGUAGGCAGAUAACUGGCUCGCACCUGACACUAAGGCACGAAAGCGUGGGGAGCGAACGGGAUUAGAUACCCCGGUAGUCCCUGAGCGGGCUGGCAAGGCGCAU
rnacentral:rRNA from 1 species